rnacentral:lncRNA from 8 species
AUGAUCCGGAUCUUCCCGGAUUUCAGCGUUCAGGUGACGGCGGCAGGUGGAGGAGCCGGGGGAAUGCCAUCAGGUCCUGCGGUGGGGAGAAUCCCCGGUACCACUAACGGGAACCCGCAGAACGUCCAGGGGAUCACGUCCUAUCAACAAAGGGAAAUUAAAACCCUACACCCUUUCUGCAUGGAGGGAUCAGAGGAGGAGGCCGUAGUUGAUGCCCAAUUCAUGUCCAAAUUCCCCCACGACCCUUACUGGGAGAGGCCUGCUAAUACCAGCUCGUGUUCAGCCUCUAGGCCCAAGACACUCCACCUUGGAGGGCAACAACAUACCUCAUCGCCAUGGUAAUUCCAUCCCUUUCCCCCUUCUUUCCUUUCUCUGCCCUCCCUUCUUCCUUCUGGACAGGGGCAGACCACAGCUCAGCUGCUACACAUACUGUUACAAUACAAGCGAACUCUCUAUCUGGUCUGGUUAGAGAGACAACAUGGUUAAGGAUGCCGGCUUGUGCAUAAAAUGAUAACUCCACUUUACUUAACCCAAAAUGUAGGCCUAGAUGCACUUGGGUAUUGCUAUCCUUUUUUUCAAUGUUAGCUUCUGUGGUUUUUAAAUGUGGUCAAUUAGAAAAAUCAUGGUCGCUUCUGAGCAACACAUAAUGACAUGUAGAAUUAAAAAUCCCCCUGGAUGCUGUGUUGUAAUGUUCUUUAUUUUUUGUACAGGAACUAUUUAUGUCAUUUUGCUUUUUAUGUCAUUUAGCUUUUGCUUAAUGUCAUUUUUGACACUGAGUUAGUAGAUCUAAGGGGAGUUAGCUAUGUUUCUUCUACAGUAGGUAACUACAGUUCAAAUGAAGGAUCCCUCUCUUCCUUUGCCAUCCAAAGACAAUACAGUAUGUAGACAGUCAUACUCUAAUUAAAGCUGGAAUUGUGGCUCCGAGCAUUGAUCAACAAUACACCUCUCAGAGAAACACUGACUGUCCCUUUAUAACGCAGGGGAGCCUGUUCUGUGUUAUCAAACUGGGGGAGAUAAAAGGCUCCACAGUGGGUAACUAGUCAGUGGCAUUGUGGGAAGUCAACUUUUGACGUAUUCCUCUGGCUUACAGCUUCAUAAGAGCAUCUUUUCAUUUCUCCCCUCUUUCAUUUGUAGUAAACGAGCCAGGCUUACACAUUAGGAAAUGAACAUGGGGCAUAAUUCCUCUAGCUCUCAGAUGGAUUCCAUCCCUCUCUCCCUCUGACGUACAGCACAGGGGCGACGGCAGGAUUACUGUCGGCCUGAAUAAAGGGGAUUUAUGUAACGCUUUGAGAAAAAAACACUUCUUAAUAGGUCAUUACAGUCUGUGUUUAUGAUUAGCCUACUCUCAGGCCUGGAUCCCUUUAUGUGCUGUCUCACACACACACACACACACACACACACACACACACACACACACACACACACACACACACACACACACACACACACAGGCCAGUAUACUGAGGGUCCAGAUGAAUACAGCACACCUCGGCCUUUACUUUCUUCAGCUCCUCACUUUCUCUAUCAGGCUACUGAGAGUAGUGGCUCAAUUUAGCACUAGCAGUAUGGCUUCUUAGCCAGGCUAAGUAGUGGCCAAAUUCCAGCUGAGAUGAAGAGGAACACUGUGUGUGUGUGUUGCUUUAAAGUUGUGUAUGCCAUGUGGUAGGUAGCUAGGUUUAGAUGGGUUUUUCUAUGCUGAUGAAGGUAGGCCCCAUUCUGCCACCAUGAUUAGUUUAAACGGCGCCUGAACGUACGGGCCGGACAGCGUGUGUGUGUGUUGUAAGCGGUUUGCAGCACAGGAUGAAAUUGAGAUAAAUGGCUGUGGGUGAGAAGGAUGGCCACUUCUUCCCCGAGCAGGGCCGAACAGGGCUGCAGCGGCCCAGGUUCCCCCAGCACACCUGUCUCUUCUCGUUUACCAAGCGCUCUGAGGGGAGCUAGCAGUUCACUCCACUUGCCCCUGAUCCCCGUCUCAGUAAGCCCCGUCCCUUGCCCCCCACCCCCUUACUCCUUAUGUGCUGCUUGGCACACAAACACACACACACAAACACCCCUUGCCCCUAGAUAACAGCACACAAGGAUUGAGCUAUAUACCUUGAUGAGGUGUGGGAAGAUCAGGAUGAGUCUCUCACUGUCUGUGUCACAAGUACAGAUCACCAAUAAUACACUACUAUACAGUUAGGGCUGAGGAGCAUCCAUGUUGGCCCUUAGCCUAGGAGUAAAUGUUGCUGUACAUGAGAUGGUAGAGAUGACGCUGUCUAGUUUAUUCUAUUGAUGGACCAUAAAUGAAGCUUUUAUAGGUACAGUAUACAGUUAUUCAUUAUUACAUCCCAUUCAGAAUGAUCCUUGGUCUCCAAUUUUCUGUUUGCCUGUUUUCACCUUACUGACAAGGGCCCACAGUAUGAUAUAACCGGCUACCUCUUCCUGCGUUGUUUCUUAAUGCCAUGUCUGUCCUAACCCCAGCUCUAGAAACCAACCUUAUGUUGUGUAAGAACCAAGUGAAGCUACCGAUUAGAGUAGGAGAAAGAGCGAGACCGGCCUGCAGACUGGAGUUUUAUAUACCGUGUGGCAGGUGGCCUGCUUUGCCUAAGGAAUCUCUUUAGGGCAUGACAGCUCUGAAAACACAUAAAUCCUUCCUCCUCCCCUCCCCUCUUCCUCCCCUCUUCCUCUCCCUCUCUCUUAUCUCACAUUCCCAUUGCCAUGGGGAUUCUUUAUGCAUGCAGCUGCAAAACUUCCAUACUCCAGGUAUAAAACUCGAACAUAGCAGCUGUUCCUUUACCCCCAAACCAAAUAUAAAAGGAGACUU